rnacentral:rRNA from 1 species
UUAAGCGACUAAGCGUACACGGUGGAUGCCCUGGCAGUCAGAGGCGAUGAAGGACGUGCUAAUCUGCGAAAAGCGCCGGCGAGGUGAUAUGAACCUUUGACCCGGCGAUGUCCGAAUGGGGAAACCCAGUGUGUUCCGACACACUAUCGUUAACUGAAUACAUAGGUUAACGAGGCGAACCGGGGGAACUGAAACAUCUAAGUACCCCGAGGAAAAGAAAUCAACCGAGAUUCCCCCAGUAGCGGCGAGCGAACGGGGAGCAGCCCAGAGUCUGAAUCAGCUUGUGUGUUAGUGGAAGCGUCUGGAAAGUCGCACGGUACAGGGUGAAAGUCCCGUACACGAAAGCACACAGGUUGUGAACUCGAAGAGUAGGGCGGGACACGUGGUAUCCUGUCUGAAUAUGGGGGGACCAUCCUCCAAGGCUAAAUACUCCUGACUGACCGAUAGUGAACCAGUACCGUGAGGGAAAGGCGAAAAGAACCCCGGCGAGGGGAGUGAAAAAGAACCUGAAACCGUGUACGUACAAGCAGUGGGAGCCUCUUUUAUGGGGUGACUGCGUACCUUUUGUAUAAUGGGUCAGCGACUUAUAUUCUGUAGCAAGGUUAACCGUAUAGGGGAGCCGAAGGGAAACCGAGUCUUAACUGGGCGUUAAGUUGCAGGGUAUAGACCCGAAACCCGGUGAUCUAGCCAUGGGCAGGUUGAAGGUUGGGUAACACUAACUGGAGGACCGAACCGACUAAUGUUGAAAAAUUAGCGGAUGACUUGUGGCUGGGGGUGAAAGGCCAAUCAAACCGGGAGAUAGCUGGUUCUCCCCGAAAGCUAUUUAGGUAGCGCCUCGUGAACUCAUCUUCGGGGGUAGAGCACUGUUUCGGCUAGGGGGCCAUCCCGGCUUACCAACCCGAUGCAAACUACGAAUACCGAAGAAUGUUAUCACGGGAGACACACGGCGGGUGCUAACGUCCGUCGUGAAGAGGGAAACAACCCAGACCGCCAGCUAAGGUCCCAAAGUCAUGGUUAAGUGGGAAACGAUGUGGGAAGGCACAGACAGCCAGGAUGUUGGCUUAGAAGCAGCCAUCAUUUAAAGAAAGCGUAAUAGCUCACUGGUCGAGUCGGCCUGCGCGGAAGAUGUAACGGGGCUAAACCAUGCACCGAAGCUGCGGCAGCGACACUAUGUGUUGUUGGGUAGGGGAGCGUUCUGUAAGCCGUUGAAGGUGUCCUGUGAGGGGUGCUGGAGGUAUCAGAAGUGCGAAUGCUGACAUAAGUAACGAUAAAGCGGGUGAAAAGCCCGCUCGCCGGAAGACCAAGGGUUCCUGUCCAACGUUAAUCGGGGCAGGGUGAGUCGACCCCUAAGGCGAGGCCGAAAGGCGUAGUCGAUGGGAAACAGGUUAAUAUUCCUGUACUUGGUGUUACUGCGAAGGGGGGACGGAGAAGGCUAUGUUAGCCGGGCGACGGUUGUCCCGGUUUAAGCAUGUAGGCGGAACGAUUAGGUAAAUCCGGUCGUUUAUUAACGCUGAGGUGUGAUGACGAGGCACUACGGUGCUGAAGUAACAAAUGCCCUGCUUCCAGGAAAAGCCUCUAAGCAUCAGGUAACAUCAAAUCGUACCCCAAACCGACACAGGUGGUCAGGUAGAGAAUACCAAGGCGCUUGAGAGAACUCGGGUGAAGGAACUAGGCAAAAUGGUGCCGUAACUUCGGGAGAAGGCACGCUGAUAUGUAGGUGAAGCCCCUGCGGGUGGAGCUGAAAUCAGUCGAAGAUACCAGCUGGCUGCAACUGUUUAUUAAAAACACAGCACUGUGCAAACACGAAAGUGGACGUAUACGGUGUGACGCCUGCCCGGUGCCGGAAGGUUAAUUGAUGGGGUUAGCGGUAACGCGAAGCUCUUGAUCGAAGCCCCGGUAAACGGCGGCCGUAACUAUAACGGUCCUAAGGUAGCGAAAUUCCUUGUCGGGUAAGUUCCGACCUGCACGAAUGGCGUAAUGAUGGCCAGGCUGUCUCCACCCGAGACUCAGUGAAAUUGAACUCGCUGUGAAGAUGCAGUGUACCCGCGGCAAGACGGAAAGACCCCGUGAACCUUUACUAUAGCUUGACACUGAACACUGGUCCUUGAUGUGUAGGAUAGGUGGGAGGCUUUGAAGCGUGGACGCCAGUCUGCGUGGAGCCAACCUUGAAAUACCACCCUUUAAUGGCUGGUGUUCUAACGUAGACCCGUGAUCCGGGUUGCGGACAGUGUCUGGUGGGUAGUUUGACUGGGGCGGUCUCCUCCCAAAGAGUAACGGAGGAGCACGAAGGUUAGCUAAUCCUGGUCGGACAUCAGGAGGUUAGUGCAAUGGCAUAAGCUAGCUUGACUGCGAGAGUGACGGCUCGAGCAGGUGCGAAAGCAGGUCAUAGUGAUCCGGUGGUUCUGAAUGGAAGGGCCAUCGCUCAACGGAUAAAAGGUACUCCGGGGAUAACAGGCUGAUACCGCCCAAGAGUUCAUAUCGACGGCGGUGUUUGGCACCUCGAUGUCGGCUCAUCACAUCCUGGGGCUGAAGUAGGUCCCAAGGGUAUGGCUGUUCGCCAUUUAAAGUGGUACGCGAGCUGGGUUUAGAACGUCGUGAGACAGUUCGGUCCCUAUCUGCCGUGGGCGCUGGAGAAUUGAGGGGGGCUGCUCCUAGUACGAGAGGACCGGAGUGGACGCAUCACUGGUGUUCGGGUUGUCAUGCCAAUGGCACUGCCCGGUAGCUAAAUGCGGAAGAGAUAAGUGCUGAAAGCAUCUAAGCACGAAACUUGCCCCGAGAUGAGUUCUCCCUGAGACUUUAAGUCUCCUGAAGGAACGUUGAAGACUACGACGUUGAUAGGUCGGGUGUGUAAGCGCAGCGAUGCGUUGAGCUAACCGAUACUAAUGAACCGUGAGGCUUAACCUU